rnacentral:lncRNA from 15 species
GGAUCCCAACAGUGCACGGGCCAUCAUCAGGGACGUCCAGUCCUCCGUCGCCAUCUUCCAGGUGGCGCUGGCCGCGACGUUUCGUCCGCUUCUUGGGACUUC